rnacentral:rRNA from 1 species
CCUACGGGGCGCAGCAGUGAGGAAUAUUGGGCAAUGGGCGCAAGCCUGACCCAGCAACGCCGCGUGAAGGAAGAAGGCUUUCGGGUUGUAAACUUCUUUUCUGAGGGACGAAGAAAGUGACGGUACCUCAGGAAUAAGCCACGGCUAACUACGUGCCAGCAGCCGCGGUAAUACGUAGGUGGCAAGCGUUAUCCGGAUUUAUUGGGUGUAAAGGGCGUGUAGGCGGGAGAGCAAGUCAGAUGUGAAAACUCAGGGCUCAACCCUGAGCCUGCAUUUGAAACUGUUUUUCUUGAGUGCUGGAGAGGCAAUCGGAAUUCCUAGUGUAGCGGUGAAAUGCGUAGAUAUUAGGAGGAACACCAGUGGCGAAGGCGGUCUGCUGGACAGCAACUGACGGUGAGGCGCGAAAGCGUGGGGAGCAAACAGGAUUAGAUACCCGAGUAGUC